AGGACCACAGUAUAGACAGGAGAUAGUAGGAGGACAGGUUAAGACCACAGUAUAGACAGGAGAUAGUAGGAGGACAGGUUAGGACCACAGUAUAGACAGGAGGACAGACAGGAGGACAGGUUAGGACCACAGUAUAGACAGGAGACAGUAGGAGGACAGGUUAGGACCACAGUACAGACAGGAGACAGGAGGACAGGUUAGGUCCACAGUACAGACAGGAGACAGGAGGACAGGUUAGGACCACAGUACAGACAGGAGACAGGAGGACAGGUUAGGACCACAGUACAGACAGGAGACAGGAGGACAGGUUAGGACCACAGUACAGACAGGAGACAGGAGGACAGGUUAGGACCACAGUACAGACAGGAGACAGGAGGACAGGUUAGGACCACAGUACAGACAGGAGACAGUAGGAGGAC